rnacentral:lncRNA from 1 species
AUUGUUUCUAACUUCAAAAUAAAGCAUGAAAUGAAUACUGCCAAAUGUAUGCUGUUGGUGGUUCACCAUUUUGCUGAAAAAUAAAAACUACCACAUGUAUGCUAUUGUAAUCCACAUCACUCAUGAAAGGCAUUAUGUAGAAGAUAUCUAUGCAUGAGCUACUUUGUUCUCCUAAUUUAGAAGCAACCCUUCACAGGAAGGGUAAUUUAUGUAACUGCCACUUUAGCAAAUUACUAAUCUCCAUUAUCAUAAUGGUAACUCCGGGGUGUGCGUCUCCAACCCCAAAGUUCGAUUCCACCCUUCUGGACUCCUGAAACCCAUUUUUUAACUCUUUUAAGGACCAAGAGUCAGGAGGCUAACUAUUUCCAAUCUCUAGCACAUGCAUCGCAUGCACAAAAUAUUAGCACAUUCAACAGUAGAUAUACCUUCAAUUAAGAAAAGGAGCUUGCCGCAUAAAUGAUUUGAGUGAUUUGCUCAUUCAUGUUUUAGCAAGAUAGUCCAUGAAGUAUGAAAUAUGGUCUCAUGACAGUAAUUAACCAAAAUUUGUGCUAAAUAACCUUAAAAAUUCCUGCAGCUGGAUUUUUACAGGCCUAUUCACAAGUAGUUCGGCACUUGCAACAAAUUCUUCUCUUUUGUCCAUAUGAUGAACUCAUUGUCAAGGAAAAAGAAAAUCACCCCCCAUAAUGACCUUCCCACCAUGCCAUCCUAAAGUCCUGCAUUGUGGUUCAUUAGUUUGAUUCCGCAAGAGAUACAUAGACACUGCAUUAACCUUCUUCCAAUGAAAUUGAUGUCAAGUUCCUCCAUUCAUCAGGCAAGGACUGCAUUUUGACAUCUAAGCAAUCACCUCAGCAAAUGUUAUAAUUUUCAAAUUGCUGAAUUGAAUGCCUCUUUAGAUGUGUUAUAAGC